UACAGAGGAGCCAAGCGUUGUCCGGAUUGACUGGGCGUAAAGCGCACGCAGGCGGACGCGCGCGUGGGGUGUGAAAUCUGGCCGCUUAACGGCCAGGCGCCAUCCCAUACGGCGCGUCUGGAGUGAUGCAGAGGUCGAUGGAAUUGCCGGUGUAGUGGUGAAAUGCGUAGAGAUCGGCAGGAACACCCAGGGGAAACCAGCCGACUGGGCAUCUGCUGACGCUGAGGUGCGAGAGCGUGGGGAGCAAACAGG
rnacentral:rRNA from 1 species